GCCGAUGAUGAUAUAAUCCUGUCUUCGAGGUGCAGUGGAGCUGAGACCCUGUUUAUCAGGGAGAACCCCUUGGCAGAAACUGCAAUUUCUAUGAAGCUAUAUGGAUUUUUACUGAGGC
rfam:Arabidopsis lyrata subsp. lyrata unplaced genomic scaffold ARALYscaffold_6, whole genome shotgun sequence.